GGGGUUGUGGCUCAGUGGUAGAGCACUUGCCUAGCAUGUGCAAGGCCCUGGGUUCAAUCCUCAGCACCA
rfam:Ictidomys tridecemlineatus contig010373, whole genome shotgun sequence.